rnacentral:rRNA from 1 species
CAAUAGCGUAUAUUUAAGUUGUUGCAGUUAAAAAGCUCGUAGUUGGAUUUCUGCUGAUCGCUGUCGGUCUGCCGUCAGGUGUGUACUGGCAGUGUUGGGCAUCUAUUCGAGAUUGGGUGUCCACUUGAUUGUGUGCACUCGAUGUCGGAGCUAAUACUUUGAAAAAAUUAGAGUGUUCAAAGCAGGCCUAAGCUCUGAAUACAUUAGCAUGGAAUAACGCGAUAGGACUCUGGUCUUAUUGUGUUGGUCUUCGAGACCGGAGUAAUGAUUAAGAGGGACAGUUGGGGGCAUUCGUAUUUCAUUGUCAGAGGUGAAAUUCUUGGAUUUAUGAAAGGCGAACUUCUGCGAAAGCAUUUGCCAAGGAUGUUUUCAUUA